rnacentral:rRNA from 1 species
GACAGAGGCCUCGAGCGUUAGGCGGAAUCACUGGGCUUAAAGCGUGUGUAGGCGGGCCCGUAAGCGUCUUGUGAAAUCCCACGGCUCAACCGUGGAACUGCUGGGCAUACUGCGGGUCUUGGGCCAACUAGGGGCAGCCGGAACAAGCGGUGGAGCGGUGAAAUGCGUAGAGAUCCGGAGGAACACCAGAGGCGCAGGCGGCUUGCUGGGUCUGUAUUGACGCUCAGACACGAAAGCAUGGGGAGCGAACGGG